rnacentral:lncRNA from 1 species
CCGCCGCGCCCUUCUGGAAGGCCCAGGAUUCUUUUCUGCCACAGAACAACUCCCUUGGUACAACCAAAAAGACCCGUGUUUACUUUUCAUUAAAAGUGGAAGAACCUGGAAAAGUCCAAGAAAAGAAGCAGCUGGGAAAGUGAGAGGAAAACGGAAUGUUUAUAUCCUUGGAAGCUAUUUGAG